ACGCUGGCGGCGUGCUUCAUACAUGCAAGUCGAACGAGAAUCUGGCUUCGGUCAGAGGAAAGUGGCGGACGGGUGAGUAAAAUGUAGAGAAUCUGCCCUAGAGAGUGGGACAACAGAGGGAAACUUCUGCUAAUACCGCAUAUGCGCGUAGUUGAGAUACUAUUCGUGAAAACUCCGGUGCUCUGGGAUGAGUCUGCAUCUGAUUAGCUAGUAGGCGGUGUAAUGGACCACCUAGGCGACGAUCAGUAGCUGGUUUGAGAGGAUGAUCAGCCACAAUGGGACUGAGACACGGCCCAUACUCCUACGGGAGGCAGCAGUAGGGAAUUUUGCGCAAUGGGGGAAACCCUGACGCCAGCAACGCCGCGUGAUUGAAGAAGCCCUUCGGGGUGUAAAGAUCUGUCAGUGGGGACGAAACUUGACGGUACCCACAGAGGAAGCAUCGGCUAACUCCGUGCCAGCCGCUGC
rnacentral:rRNA from 1 species